GCAGUUUCCUGCAGUUGCGAAUGCUCUCAGACAGCAUUCACCAGCCAAGCAUGCCAGCUUUGGGGCUGAUGGGAAAGGCAGCCUGAAACAUGCAAGUUGGCGAAGGCUGCGCUUGGCCACUUUCAGACUGUCACGGUUUCACAGGUGAGAUUCAGUUGCAUACCAGCACAUUCAGAUCGGGCAGUUAAAGUGGUGUUGGCACUCAGGGGAAAUGAACCCACUUCAAAAUCGUGCUGCUGUAUUUUUGCUUUGUUGUGCAGGUGGGCGGAUUUUAUUGUUUUUUAUAUGCUGCCUCUCUCUCUCUGUGCGAUAUUUGUUAUUUUGUAAGCUGCUCAGCAAUUGCCUUAAUAUUAAUCAGUAUAUAAAGAUACAAAGUAAGGAAAGAAAAACCAGACGUCUUGCAAGAAGGAAAGUGAGGGGGGAAACGGAUUGGGAAGUGUGGGCUGACAAUUGCUUGGCACAGCACCUGCAAAGCCCUAUAUGGCCUAGGACCCUCGUACCUACGGGACCGCCUCUCCUGGUAUGUCCCACAGAGAAACUUACGGUCUUCAAAUAAAAACAUCCUGAAGGUCCCAGGCCACAGAGACGUUAGGCUGGCCUCAACUAGAGCCAGGGCUUUUUCGGCUGUGGCUCCAAUCUGGUGGAACGCUCUGUCACAAGAGACUAGGGCCCUGCGGGAUUUGACAUCUUUCCGCAGGGCCUGCAAGACAGAGCUGUUCCACCAGGCCUUGGCAAUCUUCACAGAACUUUAGCCUAAUGGUUGCCAUCAAUUUGAGUUGAAUUAAUUUUAUAAUGAAAUGAUUUUAGAAUGUUGUACUAUUUUAUUGUUGUUAGCCACCCUGAGCCCGGCUUCGGCUGGGGAGGGCAGGAUAUAAAUAAAAUUUAUAAUAAUAAUAAUAAUAAUAAUAAUAAUAAUAAUAAUAAUAAUUUUCCUCCCCACCAACAAGUCAGAACAAACAUCCAAUAAACAGCCACCUCUAUCACCUCCUUGCAAACUUCUGCAAACAAAUCAGCUGGAAUAUUCAGUAAACAGUUCAUCCUAGAAGCGACCCUGGCAUCUUACAGAGUGGUGGGUAGUUUUUUUUACACUGACUCCAAGGCCUGAAGGGAUGAGAAGGCAGCCCUCUCUGUGUAAGAGCUUCCCCCAUGAUUAACCUGCCACACAAUCCAUUUAAAGAAGAAAACAGACGUAGGGUAUGAGAAGGAAUGGUAAGCAGAGCUGACACAAGUCGCUUUGCUGCCCAAAGUGGAGGUCUCUCAGCUCAGCGGUGGAAACUGCAUCUUGUGUGCUGAAGGCCCCAGGCUCUUAGUGAGAAGCUUCCUGGGCAAAGCCUUGCCACCAAUUAAUACUCAAUUAUCUCAGUGGGUCUUGGCAAGAAGGCACAGCCACUGAUUAAUGGGUGCUUUCAAGUUCACCCUUCAAAUAGAUUUGGCCAGUCGGCUCAGCGGAGUUCCUUGGAAACCUACGGAGAGGCAGAAGUUUCGAAGCAGAGAAAGACUGAAGGAAGCAGAUGAGUCUGAUAGCAGUGGAAGUCCAUGGCAAGCACUCUGCAGGAUGCAUAAACCCUCCCUGUAAGUCUGUGAUUCAUCCUGGUAGAGACGAGGGCAAGAAGUCCUUUGACUAGGACCACCUGGUCCCAGGUAUUAUGGGCCUAUGAGUUAAGCCAUUGGUUUCAGGCAGAGGUCUCUCUGAACCUGGGACCUUCAGAUGCAAAGAAGAUGCUCUCCACUGAGGUACGGCUGUUUUCUGAGGAUUCCUGGAGGCUAGAUAAAACUUGUUAAAGGAAUGGAGUUGACAAUCUUCAUUUGAGGUCCUCUGAGGCCUCUCUAGCAUUCAUCCUGCUCCACAUCCGUCAUUUGGCAAGCAAUUUCCUUCUCAAACCAGCUAGAGAGGUGGGUAUUCCUUGCUUGCUUGCUUGCUAGGUGGUUGCAGGGCUUGCUAAGAAGGGUUACCUGAUAAUAUAAAGGUAAGAGCGCCACUAAGCAUGAGAAGGGUGCCACUUCUUCCUCCACAACCACAAGCAGUCUCCAAUUUUUAUGAGUUGUUGUGUACAGUCAUACCUCGGGAUAAAUAUGCUUCAGGUUGAGCGCGUUUGGGUUGCGCUCCGUGGCGACCCGGAAGUAACAGAGCAUGUUACUUCCGGGUUUCACCGCUCGUGCAUACACAGACGGUCAAAAUGACGUCACGCGCAUGCGCGGAAGCAGCGAAACGUGACCCGUGCACGCACAGACGCGUCUUACGUUAUGUUCAGAAUGUGAAUGGGGCUCCGGAACGGAUCCUGUUCGCAUCCUGAGGUACCACUGUAUUAAAGGUAAAGGGACCCCUGACCAUUAGGUCCAGUCGUGACCGACUCUGGGGUUGCGGCGCUCAUCUUGCUUUAUUGGCUGAGGGAGCCGGCGUACAGCUUCCGGGUCAUGUGGCCAGCAGGACUAAGCUGCUUCUGGCGAACCAGAGCAGCACAUGGAAACACCGUUUACCUUCCUGCCGGAGCGGUACCUAUUAAUCUAUUUGCACUUUGACGUGCUUUCGAACUGCUAGGUUGGCAGGAGCAGGGACCGAGCAACGGGAGCUCACCCCGUCGCAGGGAUUCGAACCGCCAACCUUCUGGGCCCAAGUCCUAGGCUUUGUGGUUUAACCCACAGCGUGGUGUGUAUUAGGUGUGUGUGCAGUGUCAGACCACACCUGGAAUACCAUGUCCAAUUUUGGGCACCACAGUUUAAGAAGGAUGUUGACAAGCUGGAAGGUGUACAGAGGAGGGUGACCAAGAUGAUCAAGGGUCUGGAUGAUCAAGUCUUAUGAGGAACGGUUGAAGAAGCUGGGCAUAUUUAGCCUGGAUAUUAUAGCCCUCUUCAAAUAUCUUAAGGACUGUCACAUGGAGGAUGGAGCAAGCUUGUUUUCUCCUUCUCUGGAGGGUGGGACUCAAACCAAUGGCUUCAAGUUACAAGAAAGAAGAUUCCGACUACGAUAUACAAUAAAUCUUUAUUGUCUUGACUAAACAUAUGAAAAAACUUUCUGAUGGCAAGAACUGUUUGAAAAAACUUUCUGAUGGCAAGAACUGUGGAACGGUCUCCCUCGGGAGGUUGUGGACUCUCAUUCCUUGGAGGUUUUUAAGCAGAGGUUGGAUAGUUAUCUGUCAUGGGUGCUUUAGAUGAGAUUCCUGAAAUGCAGGGGUUGGACUAGAUGACCCUCAGAGUCCCUUCCAACUCUAUGAUUCUAUAAUAAUCCUUAGAAAAUAUAUGGUGCCAUUUGCAAAGUGAUUUAUGUACAAUAUCUCCGCAAUCCAUGCAACAGCUCUGUGAGGUAGGUCCCCACAUGAAAGGGGUGGGACAGCAAUGGAGAGAUAAUGGUUUGUCUUUGGUGAUGGGUUCAGGGCUUAAUCUGCAGCGAGGCUAAGCCACUGCCUAUGUUUUCCACAUCUUGGCUUAAUCUUGGAGCAUGUGAAGUAGGAAUAGAUCUACUGUUUUCCGGAAGCACCUUCCCAUGGCUGUUUUGCAGAGAAGCAGUGGCUACGCCAGCCUUCCCCAACCUGGUGCCCUCCAGAUGCUUUGGACUACAACUCCCAUCAUCACUGCUUGCAUGCAAUCUGACAGCUGCAGCCUCUAGCCACCCAACAUCUCCUGCAAUGCUGCGAGGGAUUCUUGUGGAAGGGGGAGAGUGCGUUGCAUUUCCUUUGGCCUCUGGACCUGCAGCCGUCAUUGAACUGUGGCAGCACCGAGAUGGUUUUGAAUAAGGACCCUCAUUUUCUAUUCAUGACUUCCCAAUGCAUCUGCUGAAAUAUUUAAACCACCAAUAACACAGUAACCCCAUACUAGGAAGCUGACUCACCCUCAUCAGUAAAAGGCCCAGAUGAGAAACAAUGAAGUUGCAAGUUAUCAGGGAAGGGCUGGGAGCUUUAGCAGACCGCCUGGGAGUGUGGCGCAAGGCAUUAAUGUGGAAGCUUCCGAAUGCUCCGCAGGAAGCCAGUCAACUGCACUGGCCCAAGGUCACCCCGUGAGCUUCAUGGCUGAGUGGGGAUCUGAACCCUGGUCUCCCAGGUCCUAAAUGUUGAGAGAUUAUAGUAAAGGUAAAGGGACACCUGACCAUUAGGUCCAGUCAUGACCGACUCUGGGGUUGCGGCGCUCAUCUUGCUUUACUGGCCGAGGGAGCCGGCAUACAGCUUCCGGGUCAUGUGGCUAGCAUGACUAAGCCGCUUCUGGUGAACCAGAGCAGCGCAUGGAAACGCCGUUUACCUUCCCGCCGGAGCGGUACCUAUUUAUCUACUUGCACUUUGACGUGCUUUCGAACUGCUAGGUUGGCAGGAGCAGGGACUGAACAACGGGAGCUCACCCCGUCGCGGGGAUUCAAACCGCCGACCUUCUGAUCGGCAAGUCCUAGGCUCUGUGGUUUAAUCCACAGCGCCACCCGCGUCCCAAUUGAGAGAUUAUAAGUUUACGCAAACUCAAGUGUCUGGUCCCCACUGCACUGCCAGUUCUGCUGGAAUCCUGCUUGUCUGACUAGUACGACACUCUAACCACUGCUCCACUACGGACUCUCUCUUAACAUUUCGUGAUUGGUCCUCCCCAAGGAACUUCUGCUGGCACUUUCCCGGCCUCGUUCAGAAGAGUGGUCCCUUCCUGCUAGAUCUCCUUGAUUGUGUCAUUGACAGAGAUGAGAGGAACUUUCAAGUGGGGCACAGUCAGUCUGAGGCCGGCUGUGAGUCAUCCCAUCUUUUUCCAGGGGCUUCACUGGUUCAUUGCUUCCUCCCUCAGAGGGGAGAGGUGGUCAGCUCUGGACCAUAUUUUCAACUGCGUUGCUGAACUCUGAGGACGCACUUAUUCUGUUUUUUGCAAUCCUGAAUCUGCUGACAGGCCUAAUGAAGCCAGGACAUGGUGUCCUGAGAAAACAAUUUUACCAGGCCCUCUCUGACCCUUUUAUCUCAGGCAGUCAAAAUAGCUAUGCAACAGAAUUGUGGGAUGAUGGGGAAAGAGAGGUUAUAGCACUGGAUGCUUUUAUUUCAUAGGGACUUAGACUCAAGGACUACAACAUCCUCCUCCCAGAGCUUUAGGGGUCCAACUCACCCUUACAAAACGGCCGUCUCCUAUGAUUUCCAAACUUCCCUUCAAGGCGAUAUAUCCCAGGGAGGUUUGCACACAUAUAUAGUUAAAGCAUCAAAUAUACACAAUAAAACCAUCAACGUUUUAAGAUUUAAAACCAAAUCAAAGUUUUCCCAUUCAAAGCAAUCCAGACAUAUAAUAAUAAUAAUAAUAAUAAUAAUAAUAAUAAUAAUUUAUUUAUACCCCGCCCAUCUGGCUGGGUUUCUCCAGCCACUCUGGGCGGCUUCCAACUGAAUAUUAAAAUACAGUACUCCAUCAAACAUUAAAAGCUUCCCUAAACAGGGCUGCCUUCAGAUGUCUUCUAAAAGUCUGAUAGUUGUUUUUCUCUUUGACAUCUGGUGGGAGGGCGUUCCACAGGGCAGGGGCCACCACCGAGAAGGCCCUGUGCCUGCUUCCCUGUAACUUGGCUUCUCGCAGCGAGGAAACCACCAGAAGGCCCUCGGCGCUGGACCUCAGCGUCCGGGCAGAACGACGGGGGUGGAGACGCUCCUUCAGGUCUACUGGGCCGAGGUCAUUUAGGGCUCUAAAGGUCAACACCUUGAAUUGUGCUCAGAGACUUGCUGGGAGACCAUGUUAGAUGCCCAUGAGCUCUAGUGUUACAAGAGAGGGAGAAAAACUGUUCCAUGACCGACUGAUGUAGAUCACAACCUCUCUGAGGGCGUAGUAAACAGCUACAAGGAGUAGCAUUGUGUCUCUUGUACUAGCUGCCCAAAUGCUCCAGGAUAGCUUACAAGAAGGGAAUGAAGGCAACACACGUACACAAACAUGGCUUGCCCCUCUGCACGACCCUUCCCUGCUCUCCCAGAAAGUGCUCUUUGGAACAUGUUUUGUCAUUUCUUUUUUUCCGAGGGGGUGUGGGGAGAACCCUACGAACAGUGCCACUCAGAACCACCAUAUUCCGUGGGAAUUUUCCCUUUCACUUCCGCCAAAUAUGGAUUGUAACACUAGCUAUCAAAGAAUCUCCACUUCCAAUUUGAAUUGGAAAAGUUUGAAAAUAUGGACUUGUCGUUUAGUCGUGUCUGACUCUUUGUGACCCCAUGGACCAGAGCACCAGAAAAUAUGGACAAUGCCUGGUAAAAACUGGGAAGCCAGAGGGGGGAGAGGCAGACUGAUUGCCCCCCCCCCCGAAUUGCUUCCUGCAGCUCCUCGCUCAUCUUUAAUAGCCAGCAGAAGCAGAAUGCACUAGGCAAAGGACCAUGCACAUCUGCAUAAUUUAUUCAAACUGCAGAAUUAGCAUCCCUUUGUGCGGAAUUAGGAGGAGGGCUUGGUGCAGAGAACACUCAGCUUCGUUUGCAAUACUUUGCACGAGGGCUUAAUGAGGAAGGGUACUUUUGGACUCAAUUUUUCUAAGCCCAGUGCUUCAUUCACUGGACUGACUACACAGUCUCACGGGUGAAAGGUUGCUUUCGAGCUGGUCCAGAAAUCAGGCUCUCACCCCCAGCAAACAAUGAAGGAUGUUUUGGAUCAGGUUGCUGAGUGCUGAACUUCUGCUCAACGAAAAUGGGGAAAGAGAUCUCAGCGAAUUCUUGGUGUGCCUAUUCCUUGGGCAACCUAAGCAUUGGGAAUUGCAGGGCACAGCACUCAUUUGCAGCACCGUCUCACUGGCGCAUCCUGUUGCUUGUCAGUGUGGCAUCUCUAGCUAACUAGAACAAAUAGCCUUAUGUGAUUAUGACCCAUAAUCUUCCAAUUUAGAGGUAAUCUUUCAGAAGAGAUUAUAUCCAAACAAAACUGUAUUGUUACUGCUUUGGGAGUACCUGUUGCCUUGCGCUAUUUGACGGGCAAUGGGGACAUAUCCUGGCUGGCUGUCAUCCUGUGUUAAGGAUAAUGGAUAGGUAUUUUCAGGAACAAGGGUAGCCUAAGCCUGGCACUGAAUCCACUGUGGUGGAAUUAGAAAAUGGCAGAAGGAGUCUUGCAAAGUCCAGAUUUUUUUUAAAGUUCUUAUUGCUGAGAGGGAAUUAAGGAGAAUUGGGAUCCUCAAGACUAAGCUUUUGGUUUUCUUUCUAGGAUUUGUAGUGCCUUUCAGGCACACAGCCUCCCAAAGUGGUUUACAAAAAGAUUUUAAAAUGACAUUCAAGUUUCUAGUCCUUAUGGCUAUGAAGAUGAGCUUGAAAGUGAGUGGCCAAUACUUUCUUUUCUCAGAGAUCAAAGAGGUAGGAGGAGGAGACUUCUAGUGGCUGGGAUGCACGUGCAGCUUCAGGGUCACACAGAGCUCUCUGCCCCUUGCCAAGGCCAAAUAAAUUAUGCAAAAUAGAAGAAUAAGCUAUGCAAAUUUAAAAAACAAAAACCCCACACAUUCAGGCUGCAGAAUUUCCUUGCUCCCUUCCUUUCCUUGCACUUCAGAAUGUUGUUUGAUGCACACAGCUCUGCCUAUAAUUCAGAUGGCGUUUGCCCCAGGAUCAUAACUUCAGGACUACUGCAGCCUCUUUAACGUAGAAGAAUGAUGGCUUUUGGCAAAGCUAGUCUUUGUCUCCCUUUUCCAUUUCCUCCAGAGGAAGGAAUGAUAAGUUUUUCAGCUGAUUCUUAGAGACACUCAGGAUGAGUGAUAAAAGCUUUCUUCAGGUUGGUGGUUAAGGACCUGCCUUUGAGAAUCCUUGUGUGCUGCUCCUUCUCUUCCUUAUAGAUGAAGACAACUUCAUUUAGCAGGAGAGGCCUGUGCCUUUCCAUCGAGAGGAUGGCUUGUUGAAACAGAAGGGCUCCUUGACCUUUUGGCUUGGCCCAGAUCAGACGUGAACGUGGCAGUGGGCAGUUUUAUGAUUCAUGCCCCGUGGAUCUUUUGUGACUGCACGAUACCACUACACGUGAACAGUCUUUGUUUUGGGAAACGGAACUCCUCUCCAGGCUCUCGGCGAUUAUUCUGAACAUAGUAAGUUCCUAGACCUCAUGGAGCCUUAUGGGAAAAGGCACAGUGACGGUCUGAGAUUAUACAAAAAGAAAAAUAAAUGUUCUCCUUUUCUUUCUCUUUUCCUCUUUUUGGUUUGGGUUUUUAUUGAGAUUCUUUUAUCUUUAAUGUCCUAAAAAGAUAUUGGAUAUUAACUUUUGUAUAUCUUUUCAAACUUUAUUAAAAUAAAAUAAAGGGAAAUGUGCAGAGGGAAAUGUUUGACCCCUUUGCCCUAGGUACUAGUAAAUGCGUAUCCCUUCAAACGAAACUUUAGUCCUUUGUUCCUUACAAUCCUGUUUGAGCCUCACCUUCUUCCCAGAAUUGAUCUCUCCUUGUCCUUCCCAUCUGUGUUUUGCUUCUUGCUCACUUGUCCUCUCAAAUUAAGGACCCAGCAUUGCAGGUGUUCGACUAGAUUACCCUUUGUGUCCCUUUCAACCCUACAAUCCUAUGUUUCUAAAAGCCAACUAGGCAGUGGUGUCCAUCAUAUUGCCUCUUUGCCUUGGGCAUCCCACAAACAGAGCCCAAAGCUUUUCAGGUUGAAAUAUCCACUCUAUGAACUGGAAAAUCUGCACCCUACUCUUCUAUGGGUGCACACCAGGUGAACUACUUGCUCAGAAAGGAAUGGAAAUGAUUCUGUACAGUACGAUCACAUCUUACGCAUGUUUAGCUUGCGAAAUUUCAACCAUACACAGUUGAAGGCAGGCUGGUUGAAAUUGUGCAAGUUGAACCCAAGCAAGGUGGGUUACCCAGCCUCUGGGAUGCUCAGGUGAGAUCUUGCAGGAACCCAGAUAGCCAUGCAAGAUCUCACAUGAGCACCGCAGAACCGAGUAUAUGCCAUUUUAUUGGGUCAUGAUGAAAGGCUGUUCCCUGAAAUUAAGAGAGGAUACAGGGUGGACUCUUGGUUCAUCUAAAAUGAGGAUGCUUCCCCCAGGUAUUCAAGGGGGAUGUUGAGCUUCAUCGGGUCCUCUGAUUUAUUUGUCUUAUGAAAUCUACAGACCAUUCUGUAUACUAGGUAAAGGUAAAGGGACCCCUGAUUAUUAGGUCCAGUCGUGGCCGACUCUGGGGUUGCGGCGCUCAUCUUGCUUUAUUGGCCGAGAGAGCCGGCGUACAGCUUCCAGGUCAAGUGGCCAGCAGGACUAAGCCGCUUCUGGCGAACCAGAGCAGUGCACGGAAACGCCGUUUACCUUCCCGCCGGAGUGGUACCUAUUUAUCUACUUGCACUUUGCCGUGCUUUCGAACUGCUAGGUUGGCAGGAGCUGGGACCGAGCAACGGGAGCUCACCCCAUCGUCACGGGGAUUCGAACCACCGACCUUCUGAUCGGCAAGUCCUAGGCUCUGUGGUUUAGCCCACAGCACCGAGCCGUUCACAAAAAAACGAAGCACAAGGCAGAAAUUAUAUGCCAAAGUAAAUAGAGUUAAAAUGACAGGUAAACACUAUGAAAUGGUCAACAGACAACAAUUAAAACGUUCUUUCUAGAAGAGGGUUUUGUUUUAUUUUUAAGUCUUAAGCAUAUAUCUGAAAUAAUGGAUUGUCAGAGCAUGCCUUGUACUAUAGAUAAUAAUGAAUUGUCCAUUAAAGGGACCAAAAUACUGAAAGCCCGAGUUUCUCAUGCCAUGUCACCACUGCUUGGAAAGUCUCCCAUUUUGAAGGGUUCAGGAUUUCAAGCAGCCUUUGCCAAGCAGUCAGCUGGGGAGAGACUGAUGGCUGAGACUUCCUUUUUUCGGACCAAAAUUAUUUCCAAUUACCUCCGCUGCUGAUGACAGAGGACUGGACGGAACCUUCUUCAAAUGCACCUGCUUCUCCCUCCCCCUUCCCCUCCGGUCCCCACUUGACCCUCGGAAAUCUGUGGGUGACGUGGAACGGUAUGAUUUUAAUCAGGAGAAGCAGGGCUGGAAUGGCAGGGGAAGGGGAUAAUAAUGACUGCUCCGUAGCAGCUUUAUGCAGGGGGGGGGGGAAGGCUCACGAGGCACUUCUGGAAUGCUAAAUUGCCUCUGACAAAUUGCAUGGCAGUCAACAGCUGCUAAAAAGGGAGAUGAAGGGGGACGAAUGGCUCAAGGGGAUCCAAGGCGGGAGGGAGAGAGCCAGGCCUGGUUACGCAGAGCACGAUCUGAUGGCUCCCUGGUGGUGCAGGGAAGCCAAUUGCCAAAUCAUUCAGGGGGCUGAAGGGUGAAUCUCGGCAGGAUUAGGGUCAGAGCUGGGGCUGUCCCCGUAUCUCCUCCGGCGACAUUAUCGCAGGACUGAGUAGCAACAGUGAGGCGAUCGAGGGUUCCUAUUCCAAAUGAGACACCUCCAUUCUCACACAGGACUUCACUUGACAAUAAUAAUAAUAAUAAUAAUAAUAAUAAUAAUAAUAAUAAUAAUAUAUACCCCGCCCCAUCCGGUUGGGUUUCCCCAGACACUCUGGGCUGCUUCCAACUGAAUAUUAAAAACACAAUACAGCAUCAAACAUUAAAAGCUUCCCUAAACAGGGCUGCCUUCAGAUGUCUUCUAAAAGUCAGAUAGCAGCUUAUUUCCUUGACAUCUGAUGGGAGGGCAUUCCACAGGGCGGGCGCCACCACCAAGAAGGCCCUCUGCCUGGUUCCCUGUAACCUCACUUCUCGUAGUGAGGGAACCACCAGAAUAUGGUUACCAGAUCUUUUUCAAUGAAUCUGGGGAGUAGAAACAGCGUGUUAGUAGUGGGGAUUGUGAGGCAAAAGACCCUGGGCCCAAGCAUACAUGCAUAUCGUAUAAACGUGCAAAGCCCUUCUUUCGCACCCUGUGAAACAUAAAUGCACAGAGUUUUUAAAAAACUGGGCAACAGCGCACCGCCCACCCGCAACUCCUGAGCCUCCCCCAAUCAGUCAAAACAAAGGGGGCAGGGGGCAGGAGAUCUGUACUGCUGGACGUCCCUGGUUCCCCUUUGGCAGCAGCAGCCUCAGCAGCCCGGAGCCAGCCUGGUAGCGCAGUUGGCUCUGACUGGCUUCAGGAGCAAGACACAUCAUAUGCGGACUUCCGGAAAGGAAAAAUGGUGGAUGCCAUGGCAGCGAGCUGAUCCUGAAGCCAGCCAGAGCCAAUUGUACUACCAGGCUGGCUCAAGGCUGCUGAGGCUGCCACUGUCACGUUUCCCGGGGACAGAUUUGCAAAUCUGGGGACAUUACGGGAACGGAAUUUGUCCGGGGACAGAUUUGCAAAUCCGGGGACUGUCCCCAGAAAUCGGAGACGUCUGGUAACCCUACACCAGAAGGCCCUCGGUACUGGACCUGGGGUGGAGAUGCUCCUUCAGGUAUACUGGGCCAAGGCCGUUUAGGGCUUUCAAGGUCAGCACCAACACUUUGAAUUGUGCCUGGAAACGUACUGGGAGCCAGUGUAGGUCUUUCAGGACCAGUGUUACAUGGUCUCAGUGGCCACUCCUACAAUGUGCAGACGGGAACACUGAAGAAGCUGCCGUAUGAUUAGUCAGACCAUUGUUCCAUCUUGCUCAGUACUGCCUACACUGACUGGAAGCAGUGGCUCUCCAGGAUUUCAGGCAGGAAUCUCUCUAAACCCUACUUGGAGAUGCCAGCGGCGAUUAAACCUGAGACCUUCUGGUUGCAAGGUAGAUGCUCUCAUCAGUGAGCUAUGCCCACUCCCGACGUGGGCAUGGGGAUAUGAACAGGACACCAGGCACCGCAGCAGAGAUUCCACACCACCCUUCCCUGUGCUCUUUAUGCAUUGACUGAAGCAUAAAGGGCUUUUGCCUCUGGAAGCUCAUGCCACCGGUUUGGGGCAGCCGUCUGCAUGGCUAACCAUCUGCAAAUACCGUCCCCUUGAUGCUGGUUUCCCGGGUUCCGCGAAACGACUUCUCGGCAGCCCAGGGGAAAAGUACACCAGCCCUUUGCUGCGAACUGCAGCUAGCAAAGUGUGUGUGUGUGUGUGUGUGUGUGUGUGAGAGAGAGAGAGAGAGAGAGGAGGGCGCUUCCAGCAGUGAUAAAAUGCCAGCGCCAAGCCAGUCCUUGAAACAUCAGCAGAACAGCCAGAUUUACCAUUGGCAGGCUGUCAAUGAGGGAUGAAUGGAAACAAGAAGCAAUUUGUCACCGUCAGGCCUCUCCAAAAAUGCCGGCAGGAAGGGAAGAAGCUGGGAGUGUGAGCCUGAGGGCCAGGGGAACAGCCCUAAUGCAUCACAGGCUAACUAGCCCAGUAUAUUACGGUCCCGGACAAAGGAAGUGUGUAAUAGCCUCCUUGGCCAUUAAUACGGCACUUGUGAGCGCCUGUCGAUCAUGAUCUAAUUGUGUUUUCUGUUAAAAAUGCAUGAGGGCCUAAGCUCCAGUAGCCACAGAAGGGCUGAUGGGACUGAGCAGGGCAGCAGCUGGGAGGCUGGAGCUUAAACAGCCCCUCCUGUUAGUUAAUGUUCAAAUUAGCACCCGUCCUGUCUAAGGAGUCAUAGAGACCCCUUUGAGGUGCGUGAGCCCCACAGAACGGCAAGAAGAUCAUCACACGAGGGAGUGACAUGAAGGCUCUAUAGAUCGCGUGCCUCUUGCAAAUCCCAAGUGAGCGUGCAACAAAGGCUUCACGCCACCCCCUUGUAUGGCGACGAGCUCAUGAUGUGAAAAAUUAGCCUUUUAUCGCACACCCGAGACAACCGGUUUUGCCUCCGCCACUUCCAAGGCUGCAGAGAGGAGACGUGAGUCACCGUCCAUUCCCCUGCCCUUCUGUCACCCGUGCCUCCUGUCCCAGCCAAUUUUUAAAGAGAAAGGGAGAAAGAUGGCAGGCCAAGGAGCCAUCGAGUCUACGCUGUCUCUGGUGGAGGCCAGCCAGCUGCCCCCAGGAAACUCUUAAGCAGCAGCGAAAUGGAUAGAGCUGCUGUUGGCUUGGCCAUCAGUGCAACUCGGGGGCAAUCAAAGAUGUGCUACCCAUUCCGCUUCUUGCUAUUGCAGCAAAGAGCCAUUGCAAAGACCUCCAUGCGCCUGUUUUAGCAAGGCUUUCUUAAAAGCCCUCUGAGCUAAUGGUGACCAUGUGAGAGAAGCUCUGCUGGGUCAGACCAAAAGACUUUCUAGUGCAUCACCCGGUGGCCCACAGCAGCUCCCAAGAUGCCUCUGGGAAGCUCAGAAGCAGGCCAUGAGGGCAACUGUCCUUUCCUGCCUCUGUUUCCUGGAGACGGUAUAGGACCAUUGUGACUUGAAGCCACUGAUAGACUUCUCCUCCAUGAAUUUGUCAAAUCCCUUUGAAAGCCACCUUAUGUCCAUGACCGGCACCUGGCAGGGAGCUAGUGUGAUGUAGUGGUUUAAGUGUUGAACUGUGACCUAGGACACCAGGGUUCAAAUUCAGCUAUGAAGCUCAGUCAGUGAUCUUGGGCCAGUCGUUCACUCUCAGCCUAGCCUACCUCACAGGCUGUUGUGAGGAUAAAAUAAAAAGGGAGGAGAACCAUGUGUUUCACGUCACCUUGAGUUCCUUGGCGGAAAGAUGGUAAUUGUGAUAAUAAUAAUGUCGCUGGGUGUGGAGGACUCAUAACAACAACAACAGCAACAACAACAACAACAACAACACCCUGCCCAUCUGGCUGGGUUGUCCCAGCCACUCCAACACAUAUAAAAACACAACAGAACAUCAAACAUUAAAAACCUCCUGACUGAUAGAGGGCUGCCUUCAGAUGUCUUCUAAAAGUUGCGUAGUUCUUUAUCUCCUUGACAUCUGAUGGGAGAGCGUUCCACAGGGAGGGUGCCACCACCAAGAAGGCCCUCUGCCUGGUUCCCUGUAACUUCUUGCAGUGAACUUAACUUCAUGAGUUAAGCCAAAGACAUCACUUGAGAAACAUGUUUGAACGAGGGAUUUGAAGCGCUGGUGGAGAGCUCUCUCCUCUACCAUCUCCCCAAAUGAGUUCUCUUAACCCAUGCUGCCAGCCCACUGGAUUUCCAAUGUAAGAGUCCACUAACACCACACACACACACACACACACACACACACACACCCCUUUGGUCAGAUCCAAUUUCCUAGCUCCAAAUGUCAGUCCGUGUGUCAAGACUGCAAAACUGGCUUGCAGGCAGACGUCUAUCUGGGAGGACAGCCCAGCUGAGUUGUGGCAGGAUCAGGUGUGGCCAAACUGUCAGGGAAGAUUAGGUUGCUAUUCCUAGCGGGAGCACAGCUGCACAGCAACAGGGCUGGCCAUUGGCGGAUCGUCCAUGCCGGCUGAAUACAAACAAGCAGCAAUUUGUCAUCAUCUCUCUGCAAAACGCAAGCUAAGGGUGUGUGGGUAAAGAAGGGAUGCUUCACACACUACGUUGCAACAAACUGAGUUUGCCGGGUAGUGGACACUCAGCGGUGAGCCCCAGCCAGUCUGCUUGUGCAAGUCCAGAAUCAGCAAAUACGUGUGGGUCGCAUUCAUGGUUCAUUUGUGGCACACACAAAAACAUGCACUUAUAGGGAAGUAGCCAGGUUAGUCGUGAAGUAAUCCUAAAGCCAGCAUGAGCUGGGGAAGGAUCUGGUCCAGGUAGAAGUCUCUUUAGGACAGAACUCGUUUUCACAAGCGGCACCAAGGGCGUGGGGGAAAUUUUGCUGCUGCUGCUGGAAGAUCUGAGGCUCCCAGUCAGAACACUGGAAGAAAGUGUUUGUGGGGAGUCCUUAGCCCCAGGGCUAUUAUGUUUGUCGGCAGGGAGGUGGGCAGGUGGGGAUGGGGAGCCUUUGGGGGCCUCUGGUCUUCCAGGUACCUGCUGCUAGUCUGCAGGCUCUCUGGGAGAAGUUUGACCCUGAAUGCUGAAGCCUGGUUCCUGAAUGACAGAGAACCUUGUCGUGCUUUCCUCAGAAUAGAUUCUGUGCGGGCGGCAGGUGUUGCUUGUCUGCAGAAGGCCAACACUAACAAAUGCUCCACUUUUAAGGCAGCCGUUCUCAAGCCUUUUCUUUUACUAAGGGUGACACGUAGCUGGCAGAAUCCUGCCUUUGUUCUCGCAGACAGAUCCCACUUUCCCUUGGCUGCCGGCAGAGGCAAGAGCAGUCUGUGCUUGGGCCAGAGAAUGAAAUCUGAUCUCAUUGGCUGCACCGCUCUCUCCAGUGGUCUCUCAGCGAUGUACUGCUAAGCCAAAACGCAAGGAGGCAACCCCCUUCUCUUGUAAUGAGCCCAUCUGUUUGACAUGGGUGGAUUGUUACAAAGAGAAAGAGAGAGAGAGAGCAAGCAUCAGAGUGCAUCACCCAGGAGGAGGUGGCAACGAAGCAGUGGGAAUUGAGUAUGACAAAGCAUGCAUUAUUUAGAGGCGUGUGGAUCCGUGCGUGUGUGCAAAAGGGACAACUUUCAGGUGCCAACCUUUCGCACGCUUAACUUGAUGCAGUGGGACUUAGGUCUAAGUAGAUGUCCGUGGGACUGCAUUGCCAAAGGCGGACCUGCAACAAAUGGUUUCUCGCGUACACAGCUGAAAUUGCUACCACGACAUGUGGCGGCGGCUUUAAAGCGGGGUUAGUUAGACAUACUCAUGCGGGACAGAUGGAACCUCAGUGUUCAGAAGCAACGUAUCUCUGAACACCACUUGCUUGGGAUGGGGUGCAAAGAGUGAGGAACAGCUGUUUAUUUCCAGCAAACAGGUUGCUCAGCUGGAUGGACUUUUGGUCUGAUUCAGCUGUACUCUUCUUAUAGAGCUGGACAACGGCUGUUAACGGCUUCACUCAACAGUCUCCUGGGGAUGGAAUCUUAGAAUUGUAGAGCUGUGGGAGGGACCCCAAGGGUCAUCUAGUCCAACCCCCUUCCAAUCUCCCCUGGAUUUCUACUCCUGAUUUAUUUAUUGGGCUGGACGGUGCAUGGGGACACCAUAGGGGAUACAGCAAUUUAUUUCCAAACUCUUUCCAUUUCCACUCUGCUCUUCCUCUCUUUCCCUCCAAGUUUCAAUUAAGUUAUGCUGCCAUUUCAGUGCUCAACAUCGCUUUACAUAUUUUGGGUGUGACCUGCCAGCCAGCUAGAUGGUGUCGGCUUUUCAAUGCAUGGUGUGGCCACUGCCAUUUCAUCCAGAGCUAGUCGCCCACAGCUUUCAGCCGUGUGGUGGAAAUCACCAGAUUUGAAAUAUGACUUCUAAAGUCAAGGUGCCAUUUCAAAUUUCAGUUUGGGCAAGGCGCAAAGAUUUCAGCGGGGAUGAGUAAAAUGCUUCACCAGUGUCCAAAGGCCUGUUCUUGGGUCUGUUCAAGAUUAAACUGCAAAACGUACUUAUAAAAGCUGUGUAUUUUAGAAGCAUUUACUGUGGUUCUUUGUUUAAGAGAUUAAUACUUCGCCCGUCAGUCAAAUGGCCAGAGCUGCUUGCAAAACAGCACAACACAAUAAAACACAUUAGGGACAUACAAAAACAAUAAAAGGAAUGCAUAACAACCUGUACCAAAAGCUGUGCCAAUGUUACAAACGAAAUCAAGCAAGGGAUUUUCUGCUUUGCAAUAUAUACCUAAUAGAGCAGCCCAUUUAAUGGUGAAUUACAAUUGCCACUACUUAUCUUUACAAGCCAGUGUGGCGAUGUGACAGGCGGAGAAUUGGACUUGGACCAAGGAGAUGUGGCUUCAUGCUCCUGCUUGGUUCAUGAAGUUUAUGGGGCACAGCCUUCCCCAAGCUGGUGCCCUCCAAAUGUUUUGAACUGUGGCUCCCAUCAGGCCACGCCAGCAAAGUCAUACGAUGCUGAGCUAGAUGGGAGCUGCAGUCCAUAACACCUGCAGGCCACCAGGUUUGUGAAGGCUGCCAUAGGUGGAUCUUGGUCCAAUCGCUACCCCAUGGAUGUUUCCUUUCACUACUUGGGGGAAGGGUGGGGUGCAAAUGUGACUCAGGAUGAGACUUGCCACCACUAGGCUUAUCCCAAGCCACAGAGGGGUUCUCUAUUCUGAGAAUCAUUGGCAUCGUUCCUAACACAAUGCUGAAUCCCCUUCUCUAGGGCUUCUUCGCCUGUUGCCCCAUAGCAAAAGAACUUGGUGUCAGCCAUGAUGCAAAUACGAGCUCUAAGCGUGCAUAAUGCAGUUUCAGAACUCAGGCAGCAGCUAAAGCCAAGAGCUUGCAAUCUCCUAAUGACAAUUGGCUGGCUUUCUGGCAGGGACGAGUCUCCGCGAAGCCACAAUUUCUCACUUUUAUUGCUUUUGUGCAUUUAGCAGAUGCCUCUCAUGAACCAAGUGCCCCUGUUUAAUUACAUUAACGUAAUCUAGGACUUCAUGCAGCAGAGUUGCCAGUUCAUCAAAAGUUCUGCUGACUCGUUUCCACAGAAAUAGCCAUCCUCCCUCCACCGCCACUUCAGGCUGCCAAAUAUUCAGAGGCCGCUUCUGCGGCAAAUAAUCCAUCACAGGGUAUCCUGGCAAGAGAAGGAUGUCAAUGGAAGAAUGGGGCAAGGAAGAAUGGGGCAAAGUAUGUGUGUGAGAGAGACAUGGAGAGAGAGAGAGAGAGAGAGAGAGAGAGAGAGAAAGAAAGAAAGAAAGAAAGAAAGAAAGAAAGAAAGAAAGAAAACAAUUUACUUUAUUUAUUUAUUAUUGAAUUUAUAUCCCACCUUUCCUCCUAAGGAGCUCAAGACUGCGGACACUGAUCUCAUCUCCGUAUUAUAUUCACAACAACUUUGUGAACUUUGGAUUAGGCUGUGAGCUGGUGACUGGCCCAGGAUUACCCAGUCACCUUCAUGAACAAACAGGGACUUGAACCCUGGUCUCUCAAGAUUAAAAUUUGUAAGCCCCUCACACAUUUGCCUAAAAUAAAAUAAAAUAAAAUAAAAUAAAUUGUCCUGUUUUUUCCCCAUUUGGGCCAGCAAAGUGAAGUGAAUAAAUAUAUGUUUUUGGAGGCCAGAAGGCCGGAUUUAAAUUUCUGCUCAGUCAUAAAGUGGAUAAAUGUGGUUAAGAUUUGCAAAGUACUUUCUUCACUGAAAGCUGCUACUGAAAUGAUAAACCACAGACUCACCAAGUUGGGAAAGUGCAUCUCACCCGACACUCUGCUGCAACAAAACAGCACCCAUGCAAUCCAGGACAAAGCAAAUCGCUGUUGAGAGAGUGAAUGCGCGGUGCGUCAUGGUACAAGCAAUGCAGUUCUACACGACUACAGGGUGAUCAAAUCCUACAGGAGAAAGGGAGAGGCAAAUGGUCACCUUUCCAUGGGACUGGUUGGGAAAUGUCCUUCCUAUCUCUCUACUACCCCAGUUAGACAGCAACCCACCCACUCAAUAAAUCCCUGGGUAGCAACUAAAUUCUAAAAGGGACCACCGGAUGGCCACUUUCCCCAAAUCCGAACAUUUGUUCCCCAUUCCCUUCUAUGUCCAGGCCUGAUUUCAGAGCCCUCCAUGACCUCACUGCAACUUACCUUUCUUUUUCCUUCUUUCUUUUAUAUAAUUUUUAUUAAAUUUUCUGUUUUACAAUUUAGAAUACUCAUUUAAACAUAAUUAAAUUAUCAGUGACUUCCCUUCUUCUCUUUCCAUGGUUCAUUUUACAUAUCCCAAAUCCCUGCAUAUUUUACAUAAACCAAACCAUUCAGUAUUCCAUUAUUACAUCCAUCAAAACUUAUUUACACUUUUGAAAUUAUCUUAAUGCUGCCAACAUUUUCAAGUGUACACAAUUCAAUAAACAUUUCCCAAUCUUCUCUAAACGUUAUGUUCUUCUUAUUCUUAUUCUAGAUGUUAAGUCUGCAAGCUGCGCACAUUCCAUCAGCUUAAGUUGCCAUUGUUCUUUAGUUGGGACCUCGCUUGUUUUCCAUUUUGAGGCUAACAAAACACGGGUCGCAGUAGUGGCAUUGAAGCAAUGAUUCUUCAACAUCAACUUCGUUGGACUGGUCAUGUUGUUCGGAUGCCUGAUGAUCAUCUUCCAAAGCAACUACUCUAUUCUGAACUUAAAAAUGAAAAGUGUAAUGCUGGUGGUCAACAAAAGAGGUUUAAAGACCCACUCAAGGCAAAUCUUUAAAAAUGUAGUAUAAACACCAACAAUUGGGAAACAUUGGCCUGCAAGCGCUCCAACUGGAGAACAGCCUUUACCAAAGGUGUCCUGGGCUUUGAAGACACUCGAACUCAGGACGCAAGGCAGAAAUGUGCUAAGAGGAAGGCACACUUAGCAAAUCCAUGCUGAGAUCAACUCCCGCCUGGAAACUAAUAUCCCCACUGAGGAAGGACGUGUGGAUCCAGAAUUGGCCUCCACAGUCACUUAUGGACUCAUUGUUAAAACCGUUAUGGAAGACAAUCUUACCCGGCUACGAGUGAUCGCCAAAGAAGAAAUACAUAAAUAACCAACUUACCUUUCUGCCCUUGAUUCUUCCAAAGCUCCCAGGCAGUUCCUCUAGUUUUGUUCCUGCAGUUCUGCCCCCUUCAACUGGUCUCUUACAUGUUGUAAACAAAAUCUGCUCCUUUUCCCUUAUGGGGUAUCCAAGAGCCCCUAUAGAGUCCUUAAGCGGGUUCCCUAUUGGUAGGAGGAAAUAACAGAGGCCAACCAGAGAACACUGAGAAGCAAAGCAACUUGUAAGCCUGAUCUUUAUUACACUGUUGCAACAGGGUCCUCACUCACCACACGAAGGAGGGAGAAGGAACCCUGAACAUUGGUGUGCAAGCCCUCAUACAGUGGUACCUCGGGUUAAGAACUUAAUUCGUUCCGGAGGUCUGUUCUUAACCUGAAACUGUUCUUAACCUGAAGCACCACUUUAGCUAAUCGGGCCUCCUGCUGCCGCUGCGCCACCGCUGCACGAUUUCUGUUCUCAUCCUGAAGCAAAGUUCUUAACCUGAGGUAGUAUUUCUGGGUUAGAGGAGUUUGUAACCUGAAGCGUCUGUAACCUGAAGCAUAUGUAACCUGAGGUACCACUGUAUACCGUACUUUUGAAAUUGCCACCCUGUAGCUCAAGGCCACCCUCCAAUACAUACAUGCAUCACAGAAGGAGGCGGUCUACAGCAGAAAUCCUGUCUGCCAGGAUACCUGACAAUGGCCAGUGAUUGCUUUACCUGGGCAGCCUGGCCAUUCUUUUGUGAUGGUAAAUACUUGGUUCCUGAAUCCAGGUCACAGGCUCACCCUAUUCAUACACAGAUACACCCUUAAGACAGGAUUUGUGAGCAAAGAGACAAUGGGGAGGUUUUCCCAUUUGUUCUUGCAGAGAAACAUUUGAGGUCAAUUUGGGAGAGUCAGAAUGGUUUCAGGACUGUUUUCCUGCACUGUUUCAGACAUGUG